AACGAACGCUGGCGGCAUGCCUAACACAUGCAAGUCGAACGAGACCUUCGGGUCUAGUGGCGCACGGGUGCGUCACGCGUCGGAACUUGCCUUUAGGUUCGGAAUACCUCAGUGAAAUUUGAGCUAAUACCGGAUGAUGUCUUCGGACCACAGAUUUAUCGCCUUUAGAUGGGCCCGCGUUGGAUUAGCUAGUUGGUGGGGUAAAGGCCUACCAAGGCGACGAUCCCUAGCUGGUCUGGGAGGAUGAUCAGCCACACUGGGACUGGGACACGGCCCAGACUCCUACGGGAGGCAGCAGUGGGGAAUAUUGGACAAUGGGCGAAAGCCUGAUCCAGCGAUGCCGCGUGAGUGAUGAAGGCCUUAGGGUUGUAAAGCUCUAUUACCCGGGAUGAUAAUGACGGUACCGGAAGAAUAAGCUCCGGCUAACUCCGUG
rnacentral:rRNA from 1 species